UUGCCUACGGGACGCAGCAGUGGGGAAUAUUGGGCAAUGGGCGCAAGCCUGACCCAGCAACGCCGCGUGAAGGAAGAAGGCUUUCGGGUUGUAAACUUCUUUUAUCAGGGACGAAGCAAGUGACGGUACCUGAUGAAUAAGCCACGGCUAACUACGUGCCAGCAGCCGCGGUAAUACGUAGGUGGCAAGCGUUAUCCGGAUUUACUGGGUGUAAAGGGCGUGUAGGCGGGAGUGCAAGUCAGAUGUGAAAACUAUGGGCUCAACCCAUAGCCUGCAUUUGAAACUGUACUUCUUGAGUGCUGGAG
rnacentral:rRNA from 1 species